UACGUAGGGGGCAAGCGUUGUCCGGAUUUAUUGGGCGUAAAGAGCUCGUAGGCGGCUUGUCACGUCGGGUGUGAAAGCCCGGGGCUUAACCCCGGGUCUGCACUCGAUACGGGCUAGCUAGAGUGUGGUAGGGGAGAUCGGAAUUCCUGGUGUAGCGGUGAAAUGCGCAGAUAUCAGGAGGAACACCGGUGGCGAAGGCGGAUCUCUGGGCCAUUACUGACGCUGAGGAGCGAAAGCGUGGGGAGCGAACAGG
rnacentral:rRNA from 1 species